ACGACCACAACGCCCCUUCAUCAUAGGGUCCUAACUAUGAAGGCCAGUUCUGGUCGCUCCUUCGUCCCGCACUUACCGCACGAUUGUUUUCUAUACGGUUGCGUC